GCCCGCUUAGCUCAGUGGUAGAGCGCGCCACUCGUAUGUCACAUGACGUGAUGGUGAGGUCACUCGUUCAAACCGGGUAGUGGGCA